AUUGAACGCUGGCGGCAGGCCUAACACAUGCAAGUCGAGCGGAUGAAGGGAGCUUGCUCCUGGAUUCAGCGGCGGACGGGUGAGUAAUGCCUAGGAAUCUGCCUGGUAGUGGGGGAUAACGUCCGGAAACGGGCGCUAAUACCGCAUACGUCCUGAGGGAGAAAGUGGGGGAUCUUCGGACCUCACGCUAUCAGAUGAGCCUAGGUCGGAUUAGCUAGUUGGUGGGGUAAAGGCCUACCAAGGCGACGAUCCGUAACUGGUCUGAGAGGAUGAUCGGUCACACUGGGACUGAGACACGGCUCAGACUCCUAGGGGAGGCAGCAGUGGGGAAUAUUGGACUAUGGGCGGAAGCGUGCUCCAGCACUUACGUGUGAGUGAUGAAGGCCUUAGGGUUGUAAAUCUCUUUUACCAGGGAUGAUAAUGACAGUACCGGGAGAAUAAGCACCGGCUAACUCCGUG
rnacentral:rRNA from 1 species